GACGAACGCUGGCGGCGUGCCUAACACAUGCCAGUCGAACGGAAAGGCCCUGCUUGCAGGGUGCUCGAGUGGCGAACGGGUGAGUAAUACGUGGGUGUUCUGCCCCUUACUUUGGGAUAAGUCUGGGAACCGGGGUCUAUUACUGGACAGGACCAUGCUGGAGGUGGUGUGGUCGAAAGAUUAGUUUCGGUAGGGGGUGAGUGGGCGGCCUAUCAGCUUGUUGGUGGGGUAUUGGCCUACCAGGGCGUCGACGGGUGUGCGCACAGAGGGGGUGGUCGGCCACGUUGAGACUCCGAUACGGCGCAGCAUCCUACAAUAGGCAGCAAUGGGGAAGAUUGGACUAUAGGCGCAAGGCUGAUGGAGCGACGCCGCGUGGGGGAUGAAGGCCUUCAGGUUGUAAGGUCCUUCAGGCCAUGACGAAGCCCUUGUGGUGACGGUAGUGGUAGAAGAAGCACCGGCUAACUACGUG
rnacentral:rRNA from 1 species